AAAGGGGCACGUAUAUCGUAUCGUAUCUGGGAAGUACAAGGCGAUGAAAAAUCAGAAGACCAAAUUCCAACGGCUUGUAAGGACUCCGUGGCAAUUUUGAUUAUGUUUGAUCUAACAAGUCGAUGCACAUUAAACAGUGUCCUAGGAUGGUACAAAGAAGCAAGAAAAUGGAACCAGGUACAUAUAUCUUUUUUGGCACCAAUGGUUUAAAUUGUAUGCAUGUGGAUGCA